UGAGGAAUAUUGGUCAAUGGGCGAGAGCCUGAACCAGCCAAGUAGCGUGCAGGAUGACGGCCCUAUGGGUUGUAAACUGCUUUUAUGUGGGGAGAAAGUGCGUGACGUGUCAUGCAUUGCAGGUACCACAUGAAUAAGGACCGGCUAAUUCCGUGCCAGCAGCCGCGGUAAUACGGAAGGUCCGGGCGUUAUCCGGAUUUAUUGGGUUUAAAGGGAGCGUAGGCUGUCUAUUAAGCGUGUUGUGAAAUAUACCGGCUCAACCGGUGGCUUGCAGCGCGAACUGGUCGACUUGAGUAUGCAGGAAGUAGGCGGAAUUCAUGGUGUAGCGGUGAAAUGCUUAGAUAUCAUGACGAACUCCGAUUGCGCAGGCAGCUUACUGUAGCAUAACUGACGCUGAUGCUCGAAAGUGCGGGUAUCAAACAGG
rnacentral:rRNA from 1 species